rnacentral:rRNA from 1 species
UUUUGAUCCUGGCUCAGAUUGAACGCUGGCGGCAUGCUUUACACAUGCAAGUCGAACGGCAGCACGGGCUUCGGCCUGGUGGCGAGUGGCGAACGGGUGAGUAAUACAUCGGAACGUACCCAGAAGUGGGGAUAACGUAGCGAAAGUUACGCUAAUACCGCAUACGUUCUACGGAAGAAAGUGGGGGAUCGCAAGACCUCAUGCUUUUGGAGCGGCCGAUGUCUGAUUAGCUAGUUGGUAGGGUAAAGGCCUACCAAGGCGACGAUCAGUAGCUGGUCUGAGAGGACGACCAGCCACACUGGAACUGAGACACGGUCCAGACUCCUACGGGAGGCAGCAGUGGGGAAUUUUGGACAAUGGGCGCAAGCCUGAUCCAGCAAUGCCGCGUGAGUGAAGAAGGCCUUCGGGUUGUAAAGCUCUUUUGUCAGGGAAGAAACAGCGGAGGCUAAUAUCCUCUGCUAAUGACGGUACCUGAAGAAUAAGCACCGGCUAACUACGUG